rnacentral:rRNA from 1 species
UACAGAGGGGGCAAGCGUUGUUCGGAAUUACUGGGCGUAAAGGGCGCGUAGGCGGCCUUCUAAGUCAGACGUGAAAUCCCCGGGCUCAACCCGGGAACUGCGUCUGAUACUGGAAGGCUUGAAUCCGGGAGAGGGAUGUGGAAUUCCAGGUGUAGCGGUGAAAUGCGUAGAUAUCUGGAGGAACACCGGUGGCGAAGGCGGCAUCCUGGACCGGAUUGACGCUGAGGCGC